rnacentral:rRNA from 1 species
UUGAACGCUGGCGGCAGGCCUCACACAUGCCAGUCGAGCGGAUGACGGGAGCUUGCUCCUUGAUUCAGCGGCGGACGGGUGAGUAAUGCCUAGGAAUCUGCCUGGUAGUGGGGGACAACGUUUCGAAAGGAACGCUAAUACCGCAUACGUCCUACGGGAGAAAGCAGGGGACCUUCGGGCCUUGCGCUAUCAGAUGAGCCUAGGUCGGAUUAGCUUGUUGGUGAGGUAAUGGCUCACCAAGGCGACGAUCCGUAACUGGUCUGAGAGGAUGAUCAGUCACACUGGAACUGAGACACGGUCCAGACUCCUACGGGAGGCAGCAGUGGGGAAUAUUGGACAAUGGGCGAAAGCCUGAUCCAGCCAUGCCGCGUGUGUGAAGAAGGUCUUCGGAUUGUAAAGCACUUUAAGUUGGGAGGAAGGGUUGUAGAUUAAUACUCUGCAAUUUUGACGUUACCGACAGAAUAAGCACCGGCUAACUCUGU